rnacentral:rRNA from 1 species
AUUGAACGCUGGCGGCAUGCUUUACACAUGCAAGUCGAACGGCAGCGCGGGGCAACCUGGCGGCGAGUGGCGAACGGGUGAGUAAUAUAUCGGAACGUACCCAAGAGUGGGGGAUAACGUAGCGAAGUUACGCUAAUACCGCAUACGAUCUAAGGAUGAAAGUGGGGGAUCGCAAGACCUCAUGCUCCUGGAGCGGCCGAUAUCUGAUUAGCUAGUUGGUGAGGUAAAGGCUCACCAAGGCGACGAUCAGUAGCUGGUCUGAGAGGACGACCAGCCACACUGGGACUGAGACACGGCCCAGACUCCUACGGGAGGCAGCAGUGGGGAAUAUUGCGCAAUGGGCGGAAGCCUGACGCAGCGACGCCGCGUGGGGGAUGACGGCCUCGG